GAAUGGGAUUGUGGACAUUGCUUGAGGGUUUUCUACUUCUUGCAAAUGCUUUAGCCAUAUUGAAUGAGGAUCGAUUUCUUGCUCCUAGGAGAUGGAGUUUCUCUGAAGUUUCAGGAAACGGCAGGUCAAAAUCAUUGAAGGGGCAGCUCAUAGGGCUUAUCUAUGCCACCCAAUACCUCAGAGUGCCACUGAUAGUUCUCAAUGCUAUCAUCAUAGUAGUGAAGUUGGUUUCAGGCUAACUUUUAAGCGGUUGUGAAUGGGACUAAAAAAAGGGGAAAUCUUGGAAGUAACAGAUGCGAGUGAAGAAGGGAAGAAACAUAGGAUUUUUUGUCUCAGGUUUACUUGGGUUUAACUUCUACUAAAUGUAUGUUUUCAAUUUGCAUGGCUUAUCAUUGUGCUGAUCUUGAGAAUGAACCAACAUGUUUGGAGUUUGUCUACGGUACUUCUACAGCAUAUUUCAGAUCAUUAGAUUUGGAUGAAUGAGAUUUUGCUCCUCUCUCUGUCUCUUUAAA